CAGCAGCCGCGGGAAUACGGAGGGUGCAAGCGUUACUCGGAAUUACUGGGCGUAAAGCGUGCGUAGGUGGUGGUUUAAGUCCGUUGUGAAAGCCCUGGGCUCAACCUGGGAAUUGCAGUGGAUACUGGGUCACUAGAGUGUGGUAGAGGAUAGUGGAAUUUCCGGUGUAGCAGUGAAAUGCGUAGAGAUCGGAAGGAACAUCUGUGGCGAAGGCGACUAUCUGGGCCAACACUGACACUGAGGCACGAAAGCGUGGGGAGCAAACAGGAUUAGAUACCCCGGUAGUCCCUGUCUCUUAUAA
rnacentral:rRNA from 1 species